rnacentral:rRNA from 1 species
CCCUUAGAUGUUCUGGGCCGCACGCGUGCUACACUGACUACUUCAACGAGUUGUUUCCUUGAUCGAAAGGUCUGGGUAAUCUUUGAAAGGUAGUCGUGAUGGGGAUAGAUCCUUGCAAUUUUUGAUCUUCAACGAGGAAUUCCUAGUAAACGCAAGUCAUCAGCUUGCAUUGAUUACGUCCCUGCCCUUUGUACACACCGCCCGUCGCACCUACCGAUUGAAUGGUCCGGUGAAUCUUUAGGACUGUGGCUGAGGCCUUGCCUUGUGCGGGUCUGGCCGUGGGAAUUUAGUUAAACCUUACCAUUUAGAGGAAGGUGAAGUCGUAACA